CUGUUUGUAGAACUGCCUGCAUGGGCACGGUUCUGCCUACCACUGAAAGGAAGACUAAUGGGGCGAUAUUUCGUUCUUUUCUCUUUUUAUACACCCGUCGCGUAGCAAUGUCUUUUGACAGCAUGUUUUAUUUCCACGGGGUUCACCGCAGCUAAAGAACUAUGGAAGAUAAAAAAAUUCGAAUAGAAAAAUUAGAAGAGGCAGUAAAAAAUUUUAUAUUAGAUAUUAGUAAAAUGGAGCUAACCCUGGAAAAUCUUCCCGCAGAAUUAAGUUCGCUAAUGCCCAACUUUGUUAAGCAUAUCCAGACUAUCGAUAAGCUUUCUAGUGUAGACAUCGAAAUUCCCGGGGCAGUUAUCGAGUUAUAUAAAUAACUUAUGUCGUAAAAAAUGAAGGCCAAAGCUCUGACGCGUUUUUCCGGGAUCACUUGCUACAAACUAUGCAAGGUUGUCGAGUUGCUAAAGGUCGAGUCGAAGCUUUUGAGAAAUUUCAAGAGUCUUUGCAAAGUGAAGUUAAUAUACAAUUUCCUUUAUUGUUAGAAGCCUACCAACAGAGCGAAGCAAUUUUUACUCAGACGCGGGAACAACAGUAACAUUAAUAAAAUGGACGCUACCGCUUCUUUACGAAUGGGAGAAGAAAUUUUA